GCAUUGAUUAGGUUCAAUCCAGGUUUCUUUUCCUUCAGACUACUACUAGCUCCCCUCUUAACGUUGUCCUUAGGUGGAGUAGGGUGAACUAUAAUUUUCUUUCCAUUAUGAUUGAAGAAAUAUGAAUUUGAUCGUCCAAACAGGGUAGCAUCAUGAUCGUAUAGCCAUGGUCUGCCUAGGAUAAUGCUACUUACUCCCAUAGGAAGGACAUCACACCAUACCUUCUCCUGAUAGGAUUGGAAUUGUAUUUGGACUUGGCAUCUAAGUUUAAUGGGUAGUGANNNNNNNNNNNNNNNNNNNNNNNNNNNGGGAUUGGGAUGGGGUACGGUAGGCAACCCUAAACUCUUGAUGGUGUUGGUUGAUAUGGCAUUGACACAGCUUCCACUAUCUAAGAUGAUUUUGCAGGCUUUUUCUCCUAUUUUGAUAAAGGUUUGUAGGAUGUUGGUCCUACGCCAAUCUUCUUGUUCUUUAGCCUGGGUCAAUAUACAUCUCACAACUCCUAGAAAUUCAGACGUCUCAAUGAUUUCUUCCUCUUCUUCAUAUUCAUCUACCAAAUUGGUCUCUGCUUCGUAGACUUCUUCUCCAUAAUUCUCUAGGGUCUCAAGAUCUUCUUCUUCUACUUCUCCUAUGUGUAACGCUCUAGUGGGGCAUUGGCUUGCAUAAUGUCCUAUUUUAUGACACCUAAAACAAGGGACAUUGUUUUCCUUUCUACCUUCAGGGGCGUUUCCUUUGUCGUCCCUACGAGCCUGUGGAGUGAUAGGAUUGGGUCUGUGUGAUGGGUUUGAACUUGGGUUUGGCCUGCUUCCAGGGUUGCUAAUCCUAUUGGGUUCAGGUCGUCGAAAAAUGGGUCCCCUCUGGAAUCGUUCGCAGUCUCUGGCAAUCUGGUAGGCUUAGUCUAAAUCAUGAAUUUCCCUUAAGAACAAUUCCCUUUGAAUGUCCUCCUUAAGACCAGCUCUAAACCUAGAUAGGGUUACGGCUUCUGACUCGACAAUGUUGCACCUCAUAGCGAACUCAUCAAAUUUGGCAAUGUACUCAGAUACAGUUUUCCCUCCUUGAUUUAAUCUUUGCCAUUGAUCUAGUAACCUCUGUUCGUAGGAUAAUAGGACGUAUUUCUCUCUUAGCUUAAUUUUCAUCUGUCUCCAUGUAUUGAUAGGUAGUUCUUCUCUUUGCCUA
rnacentral:lncRNA from 1 species